GAUGAACGCUGGCGGCGCGCCUAACACAUGCAAGUCGAACGGUUAAAGCACCUUCGGGUGUGUAUAAAGUGGCGAACGGCUGAGUAACACGUGGGCAACCUGCCUCUCACUCCGGGAUAGCCUCGAGAAAUCGUGGGUAAUACCGGAUACUCCAGGAUCUCCGCAUGGCGUUCCUGGGAAAGCCCCGACGGUGAGAGAUGGGCCCGCGGCCUGUUAGCUUGUUGGUGAGGUAACGGCCCACCAAGGCUAUUAUGGGUAGCUGGGUUGAGAGACCGACCAGCCAGAUUGGGACUGAGACACGGCCCAGACUCC
rnacentral:rRNA from 1 species